GAAUAUUCGUCGUUGACGAAGGGACCGAAGACACCAGAAGGCAGGUUGCGGGCUUCAUCCCCCAACUUCUUGCGC
rnacentral:sRNA from 1 species